UACGGAGGGUGCAAGCGUUAUCCGGAUUCACUGGGUUUAAAGGGAGCGUAGGCGGGCAGGUAAGUCAGUGGUGAAAUCUCCGAGCUUAACUCGGAAACUGCCGUUGAUACUAUCUGUCUUGAAUAUCGUGGAGGUAAGCGGAAUAUGUCAUGUAGCGGUGAAAUGCUUAGAUAUGACAUAGAACACCAAUUGCGAAGGCAGCUUACUACUCGAUUAUUGACGCUGAGGCUCGAAAGCGUGGGGAUCAAACAGG
rnacentral:rRNA from 1 species